AUUUCUUUGGAGAUCCCUGUGUAGCUGAGGCCUUCUAAAGGGCUGCAGGAAAAAGAGCCUCCAGCUCCAAUUCUUUCAGCUGGUGCAAUAACCCCUUUGUUUCUAAAGCAUUAUCAGAUUAAUCCUCAGUGCCACACGAAGGCCAGACAGCCAGCCUUGAUGUGAGAGCAAGCAGAACCACAGCCCUCCCUUCCCCACAUCUUUCCCCAAGGAUUUGGCUACUUUUUGCCAUCACACUUCUACCACCAUAGCUCUAAGAUCUAUGGUUAAAGCUUUUAAAUGAUUUCUGCUGUGCUGAAGAAAACAAAAAGUAAUCUCGCAACUAUUGCACUGAUUUCCUUGACAAAGAUUUUCUGUUUUCUAAGCAUGCAGUCAGCAAUCCAUACCUGCUUGAUGUAAUUCAUGAUCUAAUCAGAGAUGUAACGUGACACAAAAAACUGUUUCCUCUGUGCCAUUAAUUGUCUUGUGCUUUUGUGAAGCAUAAAUACAAUGCUUUACCAAAGCAUCGGUGGUACAGUGGAUUCAUGCUUUACUAUUAACACAUAAUGCUUUCAUGCCAGUAGUAUAAAAUCAAAUGCACUCCAUAGGAAAUUACCAGAAGACAUUUAAGGCUACAGGUGUUGGCUCCUAAAGCAACACGUAUAUUAAAACCUAAUAGCACUGUUUGAGAUGUGUACUCAGUAACCUGGGAGGUGUACUGAUGCUUCUUACCAGAAGUGUAUGUUUGUCAGGAAUUUAAUCUCACCUUCUCAGCUCUGUCUGCUGCAUCUAUGCACCACAGGUUUUAUUCAGAAAAAAUUAUGUACUCAUGGAUCUGAAUUUAAGUGUUUGUGAAUCCUCCUCAUUGACUAGGAGAUUGCUACAGAAAGCAUGGUAUCGAUUGCUCCAAGUGGAGUUCCUGUGCCACUGAGCAGUUCGUGAGCAAUGGAUGGGACAGGACACACUGGGUGGAUACAGCACAGAAUCCUACAUCUCUGGAUGGUAAUGAGAACCUGCUGCUCCCUACCACAACAGCUGUGCAUCCUUGCAUCCUGCUUGGAUCACUGCAAUGGGAGCACUGCACUGCUGCUGAUUAAAUGUAGUUCUAUAGAAAAGAUUAAGACUAAAGAGGCACCUUCCAAAGAUAUUAAAAAAAAAAAAAGAGUUAAAAAAAGGGAAAGGGGGGGGAGGGGAAGUGAGGGAGGUCACUGGGGUAGUAUUCCUUGCAGUCAUUGAUUGCUAUGUUUGCUGGUUGCUGCGUGUUAGAGGAAGCACUGGCACACAGCUUUGGGAAAUGCAGAUUCAUCCCGAAGCUCUGUGUAACUCUCUAACGAUCACUUUUAUCUCUAAAGCUCGUAAUAACUUCAGCAAGAGCUGAGGAUUGAGUUGCACAGCUUUGGUCUUUUCUACUUAUAACAAGAGGUCAAGACUGCAAGAACACAAUUAGAUGCUAUGGACGCUCCAGCUCAGCACUGGGCAGAAGAUGAGGAAAGAAGCCCAGGUGCCUUUGGAGCACAUAAGCUUUGUGUAUUUGUGCCCAGUGGGACUGCUUUCCACCAGAGCUUGCAUUUCCCAGCUGAAUAUACAACCAAGAACAAAUUUGAAGCAAACACACACACAUGCACCGCUGAGCCAAAAGGAUAGUCUUACAAACAGAAGAGCUAGCAGAGCCAGAAAAGCAAGAGGACAUUGAAAUUAAAUCUCUAAAGCAAGAUUUUGUUUGGAAGGCUGAAAUCCAAGUGUGAAUACACUGUUCUGGAAGUUAAAUCUUAGCAAAGUCCUAUAGCUUUAUUUCUGUAUACCAACACUUUUCCAAGUGUUACUUCUUGCUGACCCAGGCCAGGCUUUGUUUUUAUUUACUAAAAGUUAAGCAGCAUCUGUUGAUAUGCUACAUUCUGUAUGAUAAAUCACAGAAGUAUUUUUACAAUAAGCAUGUAUUUUAACCAGGUGGCUGUUGUCUUUUUUGCUAACAAACCAUCUCAAAGAAAAAACCAUGACAUUCCAAAAGAGACAAGAAGAUCCCCUGUGAUUCCUUUUCAGCACAAGAACUUGCACUCAUGAAGCUCUGUAUGUUCAUGAAGCAAAAUAAAGACAUCUGAAU
ensembl:lncRNA